rnacentral:rRNA from 1 species
GACGAACGCUGGCGGCGUGCUUAACACAUGCAAGUCGAGCGGUAAGGCCCUUUCGGGGGUACACGAGCGGCGAACGGGUGAGUAACACGUGGGUGACCUGCCCUUAGCUCUGGGAUAAGCCUGGGAAACUGGGUCUAAUACCGGAUAUGACUCCAUAAACGCAUGUUGUGGGGUGGAAAGCCUUGUGCGGCUAGGGAUGGGCCCGCGGCCGUAUCAGCUUGUUGGUGGGUGAUGGCCUACCAAGGCGACGACGGUAGCCGGCCUGAGAGGGCGACCGGCCACACUGGGACUGAGACACGGCCC